rnacentral:sRNA from 1 species
AGCUACUUAGAUACAGUGGAGUAUAUAUCUAAAUAAUCAUGAUGGAUCAUGAUGUGGAUCUAUCUUAAUUAUGUGCGGCAGGCAUGGGCACGGCACCAUUCCCGUACACGUUCUGCGAUCAAUUAAUGUAUGGACCAUACAUGUAUAUUAAUUGCUGUAUACCUAUCCACUUAUUUAAAACACGUCGACACGUUCACGAAAAAUGGUUACUCCCCUGGUAUACAUAUAUAGGUCCAUAGAUGAUGCAUUGCAAAUUUAAUUAGCUACCUAGAAAUUUAUUUAGGAUGCUAAAUUUAAGAUGGUAGAUUUAGUUUAAAUGUAUACGACUCUUGAUCUAUUUUUGUUGGAUUUCACUCCACCCGUGGUUGGGAACUAUU